rnacentral:tRNA from 1 species
CGACCUGCUGGGUGAGCAGGACGCCGCCUGGUUUGAGCAGGCGGGCGAUGUCGAACGCCGGAAGCCUGCCGUGCCGGCUCAGCACCAGGUCGA